rnacentral:misc_RNA from 1 species
GUGAAUCAUCGAAUCUUUGAACGCAUCUUGCGCUCCUCGGCAUUCCGAGGAGCAUGCCUGUUUGAGUGUCGUGAAAUCUCUCGAAGGGGGAGGGGAUCCCCCCUCCCUUCGGAUUUGGACGUAUGCCGCGAGACGGCUCGUCCUCAAAUGCAUCGCGCGCCGUGCCGCCGCCUUUCCGGACGCGAUAAGCUCUGCGUCGGAAGAGAACGGCGGGAGGAACGGCCGCGUCUCCAUCCCUCUCCCGGGGGACGGAAACUCUUACGACCUUGACCUCAAAUCAGGCAGGACUACCCGCCGAACUUAAGCAUAUCAAUAAGCGGAGGA